rnacentral:lncRNA from 1 species
UGAAAUGACACGAGAUUCUUGUUCCUGGAUACAUCCUUCAUGAAUUUGUGAACAGUCCCUUUGAAAUGAUACUCCAGUCUAUAGACAAGAUAGCUUUAAGUUGUACUACUACAGUUGGGGUACGUGUAGCACAAACGUUUCUUCGCGAAGUACCAAGGAGUUAAAGGUCAUGACCAAUAGCUUUCUUUCGAAAGAACAGAAAUAGAAUAACAAUUCUCCCUCAAAAUAUAACAGAAGAACAAUUGCCCCCAGCAUGAACUUAGAAGCUAGAGGCCAAAUGUCCUCAUGAUGACGAACAAUUCCCCCUAUAGCUCCAAAGGAUUUGAUGCAUGUGACACAUUGCAGAUGUUGAAGCUAGCUGCAUAGCUGAUGAGCCAUCUCAGUCUCGAUCGUGCUAUCUCUCUACCUACUCCAUUCCAUCUAGCUCAGCUAUAGCCAGUAAGAAGAAUGGCAAUCAUUUAGGAAGCUUACAAAGGUAUAUGUUGAUAAAGAUUCAUUGGACGUUGACGAAGCCGAUGUCCCAUAACAUCCAUCCCUCGUCUCCUCUCAAAAAAAGUUCAGUUGAAGAUUCCCC